ACUAUGAGUGUGUGUUUGGCCAUCCAGGUUUCAUAACUACAACUGAUGUUCAAUUACAAGGGAUAUUAAUCAGUCUCUGUGGACUAUACACUGUGCCUAGUUUCAUCCUCAGAGACUGAUGUGUAAGCUUAAAGUAAAGACAUCAAAUCAAAGUAUCAGCUAUCAAGAGGAAGAACAUUCAAAAUCAUAUUGUGAUACACAAAUCAAGCAAGUCUAUGACCAGCAUUAUGAUACAUGCCAAGAAAAAGCUG